UACCAAAAACAUCGCCUCUUGACACAUAUAAGAGGUCCAGCCUGCCCAGUGACUCUGUUCAACGGCCGCGGUAUCCUAACCGUGCGAAGGUAGCGUAAUCACUUGUUCUUUAAUUGAGGACUAGUAUGAAUGGCACCACGAGGGUUAUACGUCUCCUUUUUCUAAUCAGUGAAACUAAUCUCCCCGUGAAGAAGCGAGGAUAUAAAUAUAAGACGAGAAGACCCUAUGGAGCUUCAAACAUUAUAGCAAUCAUCACUAAAAACCUUUAAGUUCCCGAACACUCUGCUCUUCAGAUGAUGUGUCUAUGAGUUUUUGGUUGGGGUGACCACGGAGCAUAAAAUAACCUCCAUAUUGAAAGACUAAAACUCUAAGCUAGGAUUUACGUAUCAAAGCAUCAGCACACUGACAUUCAUUGACCCAAUAUAAUUGAGCAACGAACCAAGUUACCCUAGGGAUAACAGCGCAAUCCACUUCAAGAGCCCCUAUCGACAAGUGGGUUUACGACCUCGAUGUUGGAUCAGGGUAUCCCAGUGGUGCAGCCGCUACUAAAGGUUCGUUUGUUCAACGAUUAAAACCCUACGUGAUCUGAGU
rnacentral:rRNA from 1 species